CGGUACGUUGCAUUGUCACAUAGAUUAGCCUUUGAAAUAGCCGUGAAGUGUUUUAUGAGCGAAACGUCAAAUUAAUUAUAGGUUAACUCAGUUAGUGCAUCGUGGACGCAGAAUUGAGUAUUUUAUCGUGUAUGUUUGAAAUGCAAGAUAUUUCAAUUAUUGAAACGUUAUUUAUUAAUUGCUUUUAUAUUUAGUGCGAAAUCAGUUGUAGAAAUUAGUUAAACAGUCAGCUGCAAAAGUAUUUAAUAUGAAACCGGCAAAUAAGUCAUUUGCAGUAUAUAGGCCGUCUUCAAUGCAAAGUCUGUUUAUGUGUUGUGAUAAUUGAUUUAUCAUGCAAUAUUGAAAUUUCUAACGCACCAGUCAGAAAUAUAACCUCAAUUCAGUGAUAUAUGAAUAAAGAGAAAGAAAAUUACAGUGCUGAUAACCCCUACGAAAAUGGAUUUCAAACUAGGGAAAUUUGCUCCAAUAGAGAAGAUAAAUACAAAGUUAGAUAAAAUAUUAGAAAUUAUUAAUCCUUUGUCACCAAAAAAC